CCUGGAUCUGUUCCAUGCAGUGCUCUGGGGACUCAGCCGACACACACUGGAUCUCUGGCUUGAGUCUCUGCCGGCUGAAGGCCACAGCCAUAUCUCCGCACUUCUGGAUCUCGGGUGUGGACAGCACGCACCAGCGUAUUCCUGGCCCAGCCACGCCUCAUAGCUCUGUGUGGCAAUGGGCACGAGCUCCAAGGUGGAAUCUUUGAAUAGCAAGUUCUUCUGGCCGUAGGCCUCGGAGCUGAACAUCUGGAAGCUGCUGUCCUCACGGCUGAACAGAAUCUGCGUGUCAGGGGAGAAGCAGCGGUGAGGGGAUUUCAGGCUACAUCCCUUCCUCCCAAGUUCAGUCACCCGAAGCUCCUCCCUGCAACCUCAGGCCGGGUGUCCUCUCUGCCAGUUCUCCACAUCGCCUUUCCUGACACUAUGUUUCCUCCGUGCCCCUCCACUUUUGCCCCAUCAAACCCCUCCAUUUGAACACGGGGCGCACGGCCCAGGUUGAGACGGCUAGGAGCACGAGUAAUGACUGGGCGGUGACUGACACAGCAGUGUCUCUAACGUCGUCCACCAGUUGAGCAUGCUUGUCCUCUUCUUGGCCCACAGCUUGUGGUUUUGACCUUCAGAGGCACGUGCAAGAAGGGUUUCCACUGAGGGGUGCUGGGACUCUGAGGGGUGCCCACGCUCUGGCUCUCCUCCAUUCCUGCCAUCUUACAAAGUGCUCCCCCUUUUACACUGAACUAACUGCUGGCUCCUGAACUAACUGCUGGCUCCGUUAGGUCUGUCCCAGGGGAGUCCUUGGAGACCUUAGCCCAGAGCGCCUCUCAACCCCCACCCUAAGGGCCCGGUGCUGCCUGGGAGCUUUCAGGGCACAGCAUUUCCUCCUCACCUGGCCUUCAUUGAGCAGCUGGAAUAUGAGGCCCCCAUUCGUGUCAUCCCUGACCACCACGGCAUGCGCAGGCACCCGGGCCAGGUUGCAUUGUCUCCACUCAGUGACAUCGGCCCUGCUGCCAUCCCUGCAUAGCAGCUGGAAGUCCUGUGACAUCAGCGCCUUGCCCCAGGAGGGCAGGGUUUUCCCUGGAAGGGACACAGCUGCCCCCGAAAUAGUCACCGACAGCUGUGGGAAGGAGCAAAGAGAGGUCACCGACCCCACCCUGGGAAGUCAGGAGAGGCAUCAGCCCACAGUCUCCACCUUCCAGCUUUAAGUGAAGAAACAUGUUUUACUGAUCACGCCAGUAUUCCCAGACUGGACCCUCGGACGUGGGUGGGGCUGUUGCUGUGGCUGGGAAAUAAGAUGUUUUCUAUAAAUGUCUUCAUAGGACAACUGAAUGCAAACCGAAUUCUGUGCGCACUGAAGAGUUUUCAAAUCAGUGACCAGCAGUCUCACCAGAAGAGGGGAAAGUAUUGAAGAGACCCUGGGUCGUCAAGGGGUCUGACCCACUCACUAGUCUGCAUUUUUUUUGUGUGGAUUUUUUUUCAUCAGUAGGAAGGCCCCCAGAAGCACUCCUUUCACAAAUAUUUGCCCUCCCAACUGGUAGACCACCCACCCUCAGCCACCCUGAGAGGCUGUGGCUCUGGGUUCUCCCAGGUUGUCAGUUACACUACGGCUGGGUUCACAAGCCACUCGGGGGUCUUAUGGGUGAAGUCAGUAGCUUGUCUGAGUCCCAAAAAUGUAGUUUCUGAUCCUGUAGAGCUCGGGACACAUGUGCAGACAGAGGCCACCCUCAUCAGGUUGAUGUCUUCUUGGUUGUCUUCCUCCACCUGGCUGUGUUACGUGGGACACAGGGAUGGGCAAUGUGCUCUGAGGAGCCAACCAGCCAGAAACUCAAACGGAGGCCACCAGGAGUGGAGGGAGUGGCUGCAGUGGCUGUAGUAGGGGAAGGCUCUCAUGGGAGGUGGAGCUUUGCGGCUUCCAGGGGGCAUGGGGUGAGAGUGAUCCUUGACACUUGAGCAGACUAAGUCAAGGAAGGAGGGACUGAGUCAGGGGCGGCAAGCUGGGCCAGAAGUCCUCACCUUUGAGCACGUCGCAGCCCAUCACUGAGAGAUGGCCACUCUCCACCAGGUAGCCAACAGGCACGUUCCAGCCCACAGUCCGGUUGAUGCCUGUGUGGCAGGACUUGACUCCCUUGAGGGUGUUGAUGGUCACAUUGGAAUCCCUCCUGACCACAGCCACAGCGUAAUAGGAGGUCCCAGCGUCUAGGGAGGAGAUGUAAGGCGUGAGGACAGCAAGGAAGGAGGACAGUGGCGACCCCAGGAAAGGCUGUGGAGAUUGUAUUCAGUGCACAAGCUGCCUCUGA